UUAGAUACCCUAUUAUAUGUUUCAUUAAAGUGUUUUUCUGUAGGAUUAUUAGUGAUCUAUAAAUUAAAAGAAUUUGGCGGUGUAUUAGACNUNUUAGAGGAACUUGUAUUUUAAUCGAUAAUCCNCGAGGAUNUGACCUAUGCUUGUAUUAUCAGCUUGUAUACCGUUGUUUGCAGAUUAUAUAUGUGAAAUAUAUUCGUAAUAAAUAAAUUUAAUAAGUCAAAUCAAGGUGCAGUAUAUGCUUAGGUUAAUAUGAGUUACAAUGAAAUUAAUUUAUGCGGAUU
rnacentral:rRNA from 1 species